rnacentral:rRNA from 1 species
GUCUGUGGCCACGUCACCCUGAAUAAGCCCGAUCCCAUCUGAUCUUGGAAGCUACCCACGGUCGGGCCUAGUUAGUACCUGGAUGGGAGACCACCUAGGAAGACCAGGUUCUGUAGGCG